AUGCAGUUACUACCAGCUUCGAGUGAUGAAUUUUCAAAUGCAGAUGUCACUGACGAUUGCAUCUCACAGUCGACGAAGCAUCCAGAAAGUGAAAAUUUUAUAACCACAGAAACAGAUUCAAAUAAUGAAUCCUCAAAUCCAGAAGUGAUUGCUGAUCAAUGGAUCGCAGUCGAUGAAACAUCAAUGCAUCCCGAGUCUGAAUGAUUCACAACGGACGAGUUCGAUAACUGAAAAGAAAGCAGAGACAACCCUAUCAUGUAAUGUAUUGAGCACUCCGAAAAAGAUUUACAGAUAUCCUGGAGAUAUUAAAGAUGAAACUGUGGAUUAAAUGACCCCAAAAACAAAAAGUCAUUGCAUUCGAUUACUGAAGUCUGCUUGCAAGGCAAAAGAUAAAUGUAUGAAAAGAUUGAUGGUUAAAGAAUUUCGUCAUAAAAAGAAAAUAGCAAGCUUGGUAAAGCUAUUAGGUGAAUUGCGACAAAAAUGUGACCUCUCAGAGAAUGCUUCGGAAAUUAUAGAGGUAGGAAAUGAUGUAUCAUUCCCAGGGAGAAAUACAGGUUGAAUACAAGUCUAAUAGAUAUCUAUUAGAUGUCUGUUAGACGUUUACGGUUUAAAAUUGGAGGGUUAAUCAUAAUGUUACUAAAUUAAUCAUAUUGUAACAAGAUUAAAUAAGGAAUUGUAUAAUUUCGAAUUGUUCAUAUAUCCUUGUAUACCUUGUAUACAUUAAUAAUAAUCACGAUAAUUUUGAAGUAUACUUACGUCAGUAAUUGUGUAUGUUGAAUAAUUAAUUAAUAAAAUUGUAUUAAUAUCA